rnacentral:rRNA from 1 species
CAGUCGCCGCGGGAAUACAGAGGGUGCGAGCGUUAAUCGGAUUUACUGGGCGUAAAGCGUGCGUAGGCGGCUUUUUAAGUCGGAUGUGAAAUCCCUGAGCUUAACUUAGGAAUUGCAUUCGAUACUGGGAAGCUAGAGUAUGGGAGAGGAUGGUAGAAUUCCAGGUGUAGCGGUGAAAUGCGUAGAGAUCUGGAGGAAUACCGAUGGCGAAGGCAGCCAUCUGGCCUAAUACUGACGCUGAGGUACGAAAGCAUGGGGAGCAAACAGGAUUAGAUACCCGUGUAGUCCCUGUCUCUUAUCA